AUCCAGUGUGGUGUAGUGGUUUGAUGUUGGACUACGACUCUGGAGACAAGGUUCAAUUCCCAGCUUGGAUA
rnacentral:tRNA from 1 species